rnacentral:rRNA from 1 species
AACGAACGCUGGCGGCAUGCCUAACACAUGCCAGUCGAACGAGACCUUCGGGUCUAGUGGCGCACGGGUGCGUAACGCGUGGGAACCUGCCCUUAGGUUCGGAAUAACUCCCCGAAAGGGGUGCUAAUACCGGAUAAUGUCUUCGGACCAAAGAUUUAUCGCCUUUGGAUGGGCCCGCGUUGGAUUAGCUAGUUGGUAGUGUAAAAGCCUACCAAGGCGACGAUCCAUAGCUGGUCUGAGAGGAUGAUCAGCCACACUGGGACUGAGACACGGACCAGACUACUACGGGAGGGAGCAGUGGGGAAUAUUGGAAAAUGGGCGAAAGCAUGAUAAAGCAAGGACGGGUGAGUGAUGAAGGCAUUAGGGUAGUAAAGCUCUUUUAACCGGGAUGAUAAUGACAGUACCGGGAGAAUAAGCACCGGCUAACUCCGUG